rnacentral:rRNA from 1 species
UACCAGCACCCCGAGUGGUCGGGACGUUUUAUUGGGCCUAAAGCAUCCGUAGCCGGUUCUACAAGUCUUCCGUUAAAUCCACCUGCUUAACAGAUGGGCUGCGGAAGAUACUAUAGAGCUAGGAGGCGGGAGAGGCAAGCGGUACUCGAUGGGUAGGGGUAAAAUCCGUUGAUCCAUUGAAGACCACCAGUGGCGAAGGCGGCUUGCCAGAACGCACUCGACGGUGAGGGAUGAAAAGCUGGGGGGAGCAAACAGG